rnacentral:misc_RNA from 1 species
CGCCGCCGCCGCCGCCUCCUCCUCUUCUUCUCCCCUUCCCGGUGGUACUCCUCCGCUCUCUUCCGCACCUAUAGACAUGCCUCCUCCACCUCCCCUGCCGCCCUUCCCCAACACCUCUUUCCCAGCUUCUCCUCUACAGCGUGCGGCAACCAUGCCCGAAAUCUCUAUCCCCACGCCCGACCCGAAACGAUCCGAUAUGAUUAUCGAGGAGGAGAACGAAGAUGAUAUGGAAACUGAAAGCACUCAUGGUUUAAGGCAUCGUAGUAGUAAAAGUAGCGGCGGCGGUGGAAUUGGGGGCAGAGGUGCAGCAUCUCAUCGACAGGGAAUCGAGGAUGAAGAAUUGCCUACGCCUCCUUCUCCACCUCGGACACUGCCGCAGAAUAAUCGAACGCCACCUCCCCCACCACCACCAGAUAAUAAAGGGAUGGACUCCAUGUCAUGGGAUUUUUUCUUCCCUUCAAUGGAAAAUGUACCAGCGCCAACGCUAGCAGAGGAGGACGAGAGUAGGAUUGAACGACAGGAACUCGAGCGGAGGAUGAUGGAAGAAAGGGCCAAGAGAACUGAAAAUGAUGGCCGCGCUGAUGAAAGUGAAAGAGUGAGGAAAAAUGAGAUGCCGAAGGAAGCAGAUGUGGUGGAAACGGUAGAGGAGCCUCCGUCGCAGCCACCUCCUCCGCCUCAGGCUGCUACGAAGGUUGUGAAAAGAGUGAAAAAUGUUGUUCCAGGAGAGAACAAAAAAAAAGGAGGCCAAUUUAACCUUCUUCAGAUAUUCUCUGAGCUGGAUGACUGUUUCCUUAAGGCGUCCGAGAGUGCUCACGAAGUAUCUAAGAUGCUUGAGGCCAAUCGAUUGCAUUAUCACUCAAAUUUUGCUGAUAAUAGAGGACACAUUGAUCAUUCUGCAAGGGUCAUGCGCGUCAUAACAUGGAAUAGGUCCUUCAGAGGUUUGCCAAAUGCCGAUGACGAGUUGGAUGACUUUGAUUCAGAAGAACAUGAAACUCAUGCAACUGUGUUAGACAAGAUGCUUGCCUGGGAGAAAAAACUGUAUGAUGAAGUGAAGGCAGGAGAACAAAUGAAACUUGAAUAUCAGAGAAAGGUCGCUUCAUUGAAUAAGCUCAAGAAACGUGGUACAAAUACAGAAAGCUUGGAGAGAGUGAAAGCUACAGUAAGUCAUCUACACACGAGAUACAUUGUCGAUAUGCAGUCGAUGGAUUCUACUGUUUCAGAGAUAAAUCGGCUACGCGAUGAACAACUUUAUCCAAAAUUGGUUGAUCUGGUUAAUGGGAUGGCUAUAAUGUGGGAGAACAUGAAAGGAUAUCAUGUGAGUCAGUCUAAGAUUGCACAAGCGCUGAAGUCUUUGGAUAUAUCUCAAUCCCCUAAAGAAACAACUGAGCACCAUCAUGAACGAACUUUGCAGUUGUAUGUUGUUGUCCAAGAGUGGCAUUCACAGUUUGACAAACUGGUUAUCUACCAAAAACAGUAUAUCAAAGCUCUUAACAAUUGGUUAAAGCUAAAUCUC